rnacentral:rRNA from 1 species
AUGGCGACGGCGGCCGGCGGCGGGAGCAUGAUGACGAGGGAGCAGCUGCUCCACCUCUUCUCCCGCUUCUCCUUCCUCACCUCGCUCCCAGAGUUCAAGGACCGAAUCGCCGACGCCGUCAGCGACAAGCAGGAGGCCGUGGCGGUGACCACCGAGGUGCAAGAGGAGAUCCUUCGCGAGAUGGGGAUCGAUCCAGGUUUUGGUAUUAGCUGCCUGGGAAAGGUGAACGUCGUGUAUGAGAAUGACAUGGAUUUGAUGAUUAAAUUCUACCAGUUUGUUGCCAAAGAAGAGAUGGCUAUUGACGAGGCCGAGCUUGAGCCUCUAGAGUUUGCCGAGAAAAUGCACACUCAACAGGAAUUGCAACAACAGCAACUGGAGAUGUUGGUUCAAAUUAGAAAAUACAGCCCCGAGAGCCAAUCUGUCAUACUUGAGACUUUGCGCAAGCAGUUGGAGAGUGCUGAUUUCGAUACCAGUGCGUCAAUCUCGACUCCGGAGCAGAUCCAAGAGAUUGUUGAGAAAUAG